rnacentral:rRNA from 1 species
UACGUAGGGGGCUAGCGUUGUCCGGAUUUAUUGGGCGUAAAGGGCGCGUAGGCGGUUCGUACAGUCAGACGUGAAAUUCCUGGGCUCAACCUGGGGGCUGCGUUUGAUACGUGCGGACUUGAGUGCGGAAGAGGGUCGUGGAAUUCCCAGUGUAGAGGUGAAAUUCGUAGAUAUUGGGAAGAACACCGGUGGCGAAGGCGGCCAUCUGGACGGUGACUGACGCUGAGACGCGAAGGUCAGGGGAGCAAACAGG